AGAGUUUGAUUCUGGCUCAGGACGAACGCUGGCGGCGUGCUUAACACAUGCAAGUCGAGCGAUGAAGCUUCUUCGGAAGUGGAUUAGCGGCGGACGGGUGAGUAACACGUGGGUAACUUGCCUCAUAGAGGGGAAUAGCCUUCCGAAAGGAAGAUUAAUACCGCAUAAGAUUGUAAUAUCGUAUGAUAUAGCAAUUAAAGGAGUAAUCCGCUAUGAGAUGGACCCGCGUCGCAUUAGCUAGUUGGUGAGGUAACGGCUCACCAAGGCGACGAUGCGUAGCCGACCUGAGAGGGUGAUCGGCCACAUUGGGACUGAGACACGGCCCAGACUCCUACGGGAGGCAGCAGUGGGGAAUAUUGCACAAUGGGGGAAACCCUGAUGCCAGCAACGCCGCGUGAGUGAUGACGGCCUUCGGGUUGUAAAGCUCUGUCUUCAGGGACGAUAAUGACGGUACCUGAGGAGGAAGCCACGGCUAACUACGUGCCAGCCGCGGC
rnacentral:rRNA from 1 species